rnacentral:rRNA from 1 species
AUGGAACGCUGGCGGCAGGCCUAACAGAUGCAAGUCGGGAGGAGCGGCGAACGCGUGAUUAGGGCGUAGGAAUCUGCCUGGUAGUGGGGGAUAACGUCCGGGAACGGGCGCUAAUACCACCUACUAUCAGAUGAACCUAGGUCGGAUUAGCUAGUGGGUGGGGUAAAGGCCUACCAAGGCGACGAUCCGUAACUGGUCUGAGAGGAUGAUCAGUCACACUGGAACUGAGACACGGUACAGACUCCUACGGGAGGCAGCAGUGGGGAAUAUUGGACAAUGGGCGAAAGCCUGAUCCAGCCAUGCCGCGUGUGUGAAGAAGGUCUUCGGAUUGUAAAGCACUUUAAGUUGGGAGGCGUUACCAACAGAAUAAGCACCGGCUAACUUCGUGCCAGCAGCCGCGGUAAUUC